CCAACUGUCCCUAUCUACUAUCUAGCGAAACCACUGCCAAGGGAACGGGCUUGGAAAAAUCAGCGGGGAAAGAAGACCCUGUUGAGCUUGACUCUAGUCUGGCACUGUAAGGAGACAUGAGAGGUGUAGAAUAAGUGGGAGACGGUAACCAUCCCGUCGCCGGUGAAAUACCACUACUUUCAUCGUUUCUUUACUUACUUGGUUAGGCGGAAGGCGUUCGUCGAGGGUAUCUUACCCCGGCGGUACGGUCUUCUCGCACCAAGCGUUCAAGGGUUGUCGGCGGACAGAAGUGCGGGUCGUCAGUCGGUGAGUCGUGAACCAGGUUCUCCUGGCCACGGCCCGACGUCGUCUUUGUACGCUCUGAACCCGACCGGCAAACACUCCCUAGCGUGAUCCGAUCCGAGGACAUGCCAGGCGGGGAGUUUGAUGGGGCGGUACAUCUGUCAAAGAAUAACGCAGGUGUCCUAAGGCCAGCUCAGCGAGGACAGAAACCUCGCGUAGAGCAAAAGGGCAAAUGCGGCUUGAUCCCGAUGUUCAGUACGCAUAGGGCUGCGAAAGCACGGCCUAUCGAUCCUUUUGGCUUGAAGAGUUUUCAGCAAGAGGUGUCAGAAAAGUUACCACAGGGAUAA
rnacentral:rRNA from 1 species